ACUUGCUCCCGUCAUCAGCUGCUGCUACUAUCAAUACCUUGUGUCAGCAGAGAUCCCCUGUUGAACCAACACCGACAAGUCUCAUCACCCCAAGUCCGCAGGUUAUGUUAGAGUUCACUCUUGGUGCUACAAGCCCACCUGUCUAUAGAUGGCACCACCCAGAGUGAAUUGGGUACUCUUGCAUCAAUUAGCAAUGAAGAAAAAUCUUCAUCAACACAACCACAGGGCAAUCUGAUCCGGGCAAUUCUUCAGUUGAGGUUCCUUCUUUCCCGGUGACUGUAGGUCCCACCAUGUACCUGCAAAUUUCCUGAGGGGGGAGCAGCCUUACCAGGCCACAGAAGAGGAC